rnacentral:rRNA from 1 species
UGGAGAACUGAGGGGGGCUGCUCCUAGUACGAGAGGACCGGAGUGGACGCAUCACUGGUGUUCGGGUUGUCAUGCCAAUGGCACUGCCCGGUAGCUAAAUGCGGAAGAGAUAAGUGCUGAAAGCAUCUAAGCACGAAACUUGCCCCGAGAUGAGUUCUCCCUGACCCUUUAAGGGUCCUGAAGGAACGUUGAAGACGACGACGUUGAUAGGCCGGGUGUGUAAGCGCAGUGAUGCGUUGAGCUAACCGGUACUAAUGAACCGUGAGGCUUAACCUUACAACGCCGAAG